rnacentral:lncRNA from 1 species
CCCAGACAGUGCCGGAUAUGUGGAGGGCUUGCAAUGUAUGAGUGUAGAGAAUGCUACGACGAUCCGGACAUCUCAGCUGGAAAAAUCAAGCAGUUUUGUAAAACCUGCAACACUCAAGUCCACCUUCAUCCGAAGAGGCUGAAUCAUAAAUAUAACCCAGUGUCACUUCCCAAAGACUUACCUGACUGGGACUGGAGACACGGCUGCAUCCCUUGCCAGAAUAUGGAGUUAUUUGCUGUUCUCUGCAUAGAAACAAGCCACUAUGUUGCUUUUGUGAAGUAUGGGAAGGACGAUUCCGCCUGGCUCUUCUUUGACAGCAUGGCCGAUCGGGAUGGUACUGAAAA